rnacentral:tRNA from 1 species
GGCCGCCUGGCGAAAUGGUAUCGCGUCUGACUACGAUGCGUAUUAAUCAGGAGAUUGCAGGUUCGAGCCCUGCGGUGGUCA